UACGAAGGGUGCAAGCGUUAAUCGGAAUUACUGGGCGUAAAGCGUGCGUAGGUGGUUUUUUAAGUCUGCUGUGAAAGCCCUGGGCUCAACCUGGGAAUGGCGGUGGAUACUGAAAAGCUAGAGUGCGGUAGAGGAGGGUGGAAUUCCCGGUGUAGCGGUGAAAUGCGUAGAGAUGCGGAGGAACACCGAUGGCGAAGGCAGCCCCCUGGGCCGACAUUGACGCUCAGGCACGAAAGCGUGGGGAGCAAACAGG
rnacentral:rRNA from 1 species